rnacentral:lncRNA from 1 species
GGUAGCCGACACCCUCCAUUACCUUGUUCCUAACACUUCCCAUUACUAUGCACAUGCACCCAUUUGCUUACUUAUAUAUAAUUAUCAUUAUACAUAUAAAAUACAAUUUACCCAUUAAUUUAUGUAUCUUUUUAAGUUUUUAAAUUUGUUUGUUUGUUUCUUUGUUAUUAAAGAAAUUCUCUGUCAAGAUUCUUCUUCAGUUCUUGCAAGAAAGAACCCUUUUUUUUCUUUUCUUGUUUCACUCCAUUGUAAUUUGUAUAACCUGAACAAGACUCAUUCUUUACAAAGCAGUAACCUUUUUUCGUUCAGUGAAUUGAGCUGUGCAAGUGCAAUCCAAUCCUAAAGGUGGGUCAAGUUCACUUUUCUUGUACUCAUUGAAAUUGUUGCAUGUGUGAUCUAUAGGUCUGUGUCAGUGACUGACACACCUCUUCUCUCUCUCUUCCUUCUAUUGUUAUGGAUUGUGUAAUAUCAAUCAUGCAUUAGGCCUGGCAUCAAUUAUUCCUUUCAGUUCUUUUUUUUUUUUCCAAUUUUUUAUUUUUUAAAUUUAUCCCAUGUUUAACAAGCAUUUCUUAGAGUUGUUUAUCUGUGGUUUCUUUAUCUUCUUCUGAUAUUUGAAAAAAGGUUGCCUUUUUACCCAUUUGGAUUUUCUUUCUCUUUAUUGUCUCUAUAAUUCCUCUAAAAACAAAUAAUUUUCCUGAAAAAUUUGUUGGCUUUCCCAUUUUGGGUUUUACACAGAAAUUGCUCUUGAUUUGUUUUGAAUAGCUUUUUGUCCAUAAAAUGCCAAAUGCUAUUAUCAGUUACAGACUUACAGUCAUUCUUUCUUCUAAUCUGGUCUGUUGAGUUCUAAGUACAUUUCACUUGUUUGUGUCCAAGCUGUACGCAAU